UGCAGUCGAGCGGAGAUUUGAAAAGCUUGCUUUUCAAAUCUUAGCGGCGGACGGGUGAGUAACACGUGGGCAACCUGCCCUUGAGACGGGGAUAACUCCGGGAAACCGGAGCUAAUACCGGAUAACACAUAUCUUCGCAUGAGGAUAUGUUAGAAGGUGGCUUUUAGCUACCACUCAAGGAUGGGCCCGCGGCGCAUUAGCUAGUUGGUGAGGUAACGGCUCACCAAGGCGACGAUGCGUAGCCGACCUGAGAGGGUGAUCGGCCACACUGGGACUGAGACACGGCCCAGACUCCUACGGGAGGCAGCAGUAGGGAAUCUUCCGCAAUGGACGAAAGUCUGACGGAGCAACGCCGCGUGAGUGAUGAAGGUUUUCGGAUCGUAAAGCUCUGUUGUUAGGGAAGAACAAGUACCUGUUAAAUAAGCAGGUACCUUGACGGUACCUAACCAGAAAGCCACGGCUAACUACGUGCCAGCAGCCGCGGUAAUACGUAGGUGGCAAGCGUUGUCCGGAAUUAUUGGGCGUAAAGCGCGCGCAGGCGGUUCCUUAAGUCUGAUGUGAAAGCCCACGGCUCAACCGUGGAGGGUCAUUGGAAACUGGGGAACUUGAGUGCAGAAGAGGAGAGCGGAAUUCCACGUGUAGCGGUGAAAUGCGUAGAGAUGUGGAGGAACACCAGUGGCGAAGGCGGCUCUCUGGUCUGUAACUGACGCUGAGGCGCGAAAGCGUGGGGAGCGAACAGGAUUAGAUACCCUGGUAGUCCACGCCGUAAACGAUGAGUG
rnacentral:rRNA from 1 species